GGCAGCCUUAUGUUGACUUGGCGAAUAGCUAUGGCACUGGGAAAAUGUCAGAAUUAGAGAGUUGUCUUGAGACAAACAUGGAGAAGUUCAAAACUGUUUUGGAUGCUUCUUGUACAUGCUUGACUAGCAACGAAAUCCACUUCAAGAAUAUCAGGUUCAAGUCUUCAACAAAUAGAGGGCUUGGUUCUGCAGCACUCUACAGCUCCAAGCAGUAUAAUCUCAAUGCUGUGCCACUUACCGAAUCAGCUAU